UGACCUCGAAUCAGGUAGGGAUACCCGCUGAACUUAAGCAUAUCAAUAAGCGGAGGAAAAGAAACCAACAGGGAUUGCCUUAGUAACUGCGAGUGAAGCGGCAAGAGCUCAAAUUUGAAAUCUGGCGCCUUUGGCGUCCGAGUUGUAAUUUGGAGAGGCAUCUUCGGGUGCGGCGCCGGCCUAAGUUCCUUGGAACAGGACGUCAUAGAGGGUGAGAAUCCCGUUCUCGGCUGGCUGUCCGCAUCCAUGUGAAGUGUCUUCGACGAGUCGAGUUGUUUGGGAAUGCAGCUCAAAAUGGGUGGUAAACUCCAUCUAAAGCUAAAUACUGGCGAGAGACCGAUAGCGCACAAGUAGAGUGAUCGAAAGAUGAAAAGCACUUUGAAAAGAGAGUUAAAAAGUACGUGAAAUUGUUGAAAGGGAAGCGCUUGAGACCAGACUCGGCGGGAGGUAUUCAUCGUCCCUUCUGGGGCGUGCACUUGCCUCGCGUCGGGCCAGCAUCGGUUGCGGCGGCGGGAUAAAGACCCGGGGAACGUGGCUGCUCUCGGGCAGUGUUAUAGCCCCGGGUGUCAUGCCGCCUGCUGCGACCGAGGACC
rnacentral:rRNA from 1 species